rnacentral:rRNA from 1 species
AUACGUAGGUGGCAAGCGUUGUCCGGAAUUAUUGGGCGUAAAGCGCAUGUAGGCGGUGCCUUAAGUCUGUCGUGAAACUGCGGGGCCUAACCCCGUAUGGCGAUGGAAACUGGGGUACUUGAGUGCAGGAGAGGAAAGGGGAACUCCCAGUGUAGCGGUGAAAUGCGUAGAUAUUGGGAAGCAAACCGGUGGCGAAGGCGCCUUUCUGGACUGUGUCUGACGCUGAGAUGCGAAAGCCAGGGUAGCGAACGGGAUUAGAUACCCCGGUAGUCCUGGCCGUAAACGAUGGGUACUAGGUGUGGGAGGUAUCGACCCCUUCCGUGCCGGAGUUAACGCAAUAAGUACCCCGCCUGGGGAGUACGGCCGCAAGGCUUAAACUCAAAGGAAUUGACGGGG